rnacentral:rRNA from 1 species
UACGGAGGGUGCAAGCGUUAUCCGGAUUCACUGGGUUUAAAGGGUGUGUAGGCGGGCUGUUAAGUCAGUGGUGAAAUCUCCGGGCUCAACCCGGAAACUGCCAUUGAUACUAAUGGUCUUGAAUUUUGUUGAGGUAGGCGGAAUAAGUCAUGUAGCGGUGAAAUGCAUAGAUAUGACUUAGAACACCAAUUGCGAAGGCAGCUUGCUAAACAAUAUUGACGCUGAGGCACGAAAGCGUGGGGAUCAAACAGG